GCGGAUGAAGGUACGUUAUAAUGUAAUAUAUCAUGUUAGUUUAAUAAAAUAAUAUUCGUUUUCAACUAAUGAUAAAAUACAUAAAGAUUUGCUGAAGACAUGCCGCUAUAAACUUGUGAAGUGCUAAGAAGUGCAUCUUCCAGUAGUAAUUCUGUGGAUGAGGUUGACGGAAGAAUAGAUAGCCAACCUCUUUCAAAUUCGACAUCAAGUCCUGAUACUGACAAUUGUGUAGUUGUAAGUAGUUCAAGCCAGCCAGAAAGUGUCAAUCAAGGUAAAGUUAUUUUUAAUAUUUGUUUUUGAUUUUUAAUAAUAAUAUCCAAUGUUAAAAU
rnacentral:lncRNA from 1 species